CCGCCCAAUGCGCCGCCUACACCGGCUUCGGUGGUGCCGCCGGCCAUGGCUGCGCCACUGACCAGGCCAAGGGACAACAAGAGAAUCGAGGAGAACUUCAUAGAGAGACCUCAAGAGGAUGACGGCGCGAUCCUGAGGCUGUGUCGACAUUGUGACAAUAGAAAUCCGACCAGUAACACGACUUGUACACAAUUCUCUAACUUACUGUUUUAGCUAGGGAACUUAAGUAAUUUUGGCGGGUCUGUAAUUACUUCGGAACGGCCGCUUUUAUGCAAAAGCGGCCUUUUUUGUGCCCGGGAUUUACGCCGAGCGCGCCAUGAUCAGGCCAUUGUCGCUCGCCGCUUCCAGGCGGAUCGCCACAAA
rnacentral:sRNA from 1 species